UUUUCUGGCUGAAAUCUCUCUUUAAUUUAAUUCUGUAGGUGUUUGGGGAAGGGGAGACAGGAAAUGCAGGGGUGGCUUUGGAAGGGCACCUUAUUUGCUUUGCUGUUGGGGAGAUCAGACAUCCAAAAAGUUGGCUACACACAUCUCCCCUUGACAUCCAGGGAAAUGCUCACUUUGGGUUUGAAGAUGGGAGAGUCACCAUCAUCAUCCUCAGGAUCAUCAUCUUCAUCAUCAACUCGUGUGGGACUGUGAACCUCCUUCAUAAAAGCCAACUCCAACACCAACCUCAUGGACACCUAUGGCAGCAAAUGCAGAAGCCUGUGAUUCUUCCCUCUUGAAAUGAGGCCUUUUCUCCACCCUGCUGCUCUGCCAUCCUGGAUGGAGCCUGGUAGCCUGGAACAACCAUCCUUCAUCCCUG
rnacentral:lncRNA from 12 species